rnacentral:rRNA from 1 species
CGCAUGACCGGGCGAAGCCUGUCCGCCUACCGCGUGGGUGAAGAAGGCCUUCGGGUUGUAAAGCUCUUUCGCAAGGGAAGAAAACUUAGGCGCUAAUAUCGCUUGAGGUUGACGGUACCUUGAUAAGAAGCACCGGCUAACUACGUGCCAGCAGCCGCGGUAACACGUAGGGUGCGAGCGUUAAUCGGAAUUACUGGGCGUAAAGCAUGCGCAGGCGGUUUUGUAAGUCAGAUGUGAAAUCCCCGAGCUCAACUUGGGAACUGCGUUUGAAACUACAAGACUAGAAUAUGUCAGAGGGGGGUAGAAUUCCACGUGUAGCAGUGAGGGGGCGUAGAGAUGUGGAGGAAUACCAAUGGCGAAGGCAGCCCCCUGGGAUAAUAUUGACGCUCAUGCACGAAAG